rnacentral:rRNA from 1 species
GAUGAACGCUGGCGGCGUGCCUAAUACAUGCAAGUCGAGCGAACAGACGAGGAGCUUGCUCCUCUGACGUUAGCGGCGGACGGGUGAGUAACACGUGGAUAACCUACCUAUAAGACUGGGAUAACUUCGGGAAACCGGAGCUAAUACCGGAUAAUAUAUUGAACCGCAUGGUUCAAUAGUGAAAGACGGUUUUGCUGUCACUUAUAGAUGGAUCCGCGCCGCAUUAGCUAGUUGGUAAGGUAACGGCUUACCAAGGCAACGAUGCGUAGCCGACUUGAGAGGGUGAUCGGCCACACUGGAACUGAGACACGGUCCAGACUCCUACGGGAGGCAGCAGUAGGGAAUCUUCCGCAAUGGGCGAAAGCCUGACGGAGCAACGCCGCGUGAGUGAUGAAGGCCUUCGGAUCGUAAAACUCUGUUAUUAGGGAAGAACAAAUGUGUAAGUAACUAUGCACGUCUUGACGGUACCUAAUCAGAAAGCCACGGCUAACUACGUG